GGGCGAAUGAAGAGGGAAAAGCCCAAAUUUGUAAUCUGGCUCUUUCAGAGUCCGAGUUGUAAUUUUAAGAACUGUUUUCAGUGCUGGACCAUGUACAAGUCUUCUGAAAAGAAGCAUCAUAGAAGGUGAUAAUCCUGUUCAUGAUAUGGACUACCAGUGCAAUAUGAUACAGUCUCUAAGAGUCGAGUUGUUUGGGAAUGCAGCUCAAAGUGGGUGGUAAAUUCCAUCUAAGGCUAAAUAUUGAUGAGAGACCGAUAGCAAACAAGUACCGUGAGGGAAAGAUGAAAAGAACUUUGGAAAGAGAGUUAACAGUACGUGAAAUUGUUAAAAGGGAAACAAUUGAAGUUAGACUUGUUAUUAAUAGUUCAACCUUUUUUUUUUUAAAAGGAGUAUUCUAUUGAUUAACAGACCAACAUCAAUUUUUGGGUGUUGGAGAAGGGUUUAAGGAAAUGUAGCAGUUUCUGACUGUGUUAUAUUCCUUUUGAGCUUUGAUACAAUGCUUAAGAUUGAGGAAUG
rnacentral:rRNA from 1 species